AGUGAACGCUGGCGGUAGGCCUAACACAUGCAAGUCGAACGGCAGCACAGUAAGAGCUUGCUCUUACGGGUGGCGAGUGGCGGACGGGUGAGGAAUACAUCGGAAUCUACUUUUUCGUGGGGGAUAACGUAGGGAAACUUACGCUAAUACCGCAUACGACCUACGGGUGAAAGCAGGGGAUCUUCGGACCUUGCGCGAUUGAAUGAGCCGAUGUCGGAUUAGCUAGUUGGCGGGGUAAAGGCCCACCAAGGCGACGAUCCGUAGCUGGUCUGAGAGGAUGAUCAGCCACACUGGAACUGAGACACGGUCCAGACUCCUACGGGAGGCAGCAGUGGGGAAUAUUGGACAAUGGUCGCAAGUCUGAUCCAGCCAUACCGCGUGGGUGAAGAAGGCCUUCGGGUUGUAAAGCCCUUUUGUUGGGAAAGAAAAGCAGCAGGUUAAUACCCCGCUGUUCUGACGGUACCCAAAGAAUAAGCACCGGCUAACUUCGUG
rnacentral:rRNA from 1 species